UGGGGAAUAUUGCACAAUGGGCGCAAGCCUGAUGCAGCGACGCCGCGUGGGGGAUGAAGGCCUUCGGGUUGUAAACUCCUUUCGCUAGGGACGAAGCUUUUUUGUGACGGUACCUAGAUAAGAAGCACCGGCUAACUACGUGCCAGCAGCCGCGGUAAUACGUAGGGUGCGAGCGUUGUCCGGAAUUACUGGGCGUAAAGGGCUCGUAGGUGGUUUGUCGCGUCGUCUGUGAAAUUCUGGGGCUUAACUCCGGGCGUGCAGGCGAUACGGGCAUAACUUGAGUGCUGUAGGGGUAACUGGAAUUCCUGGUGUAGCGGUGAAAUGCGCAGAUAUCAGGAGGAACACCGAUGGCGAAGGCAGGUUACUGGGCAGUUACUGACGCUGAGGAGCGAAAGCAUGGGUAGCGAACA
rnacentral:rRNA from 1 species